GCUUUCUGAAAAGCAAACAAGCAGGAGAGGAUUGUUGGGAAAGGAAGUGGCCAGGCCUGUCCAAGGGGAGGCAGGCGUGGAUUAGCAGUGGGAGCAGAGGUUCCAGGAGCUCGAUAAAGGAUUUGCCAGGGCUGGGAAUGCGGAGGGACAUCCGUCACCUCCCCUUCACUGCGUGAUAUCGUGACAUUGAGCGAUUUAUGACCAAACCAGAACCGACUAGUUUGGCAAAAGGGAUAUGGAGAGGAGCCAGUGGAGCAUCGUGGAAAAACUGCUCCUGCAAGGCGAUAGGGGAAAUUGUGUUAUUUUAAAAUUGCUGAUUUAUCGUACUUUGUUAAGUUGGUACAGCAAAUGGCUCUGGGAGUGCUGCCUGCUUGUGCAAGCUGCUUUUCUUGUGCUUUAAUCUGUUUUUCAGUACAAGAGCCACUCCAGUUUCAGCUCCCGCUCUGUAAGUCACAUUUUCAGCACGAUCAGUGUCAGGAAUUUGUAAAAUAAAUAAUUAAAUAAAUAGUGGUUUGUGUCUGUGUUGGGUUGAUUUUUUUUUUUUUUUAAGAAAAAAUUCUGGAGUAAAUAUUCCAUCAGCUGGUUGCUAAUUACAGCCAUUUGGGGAACGUUAAUUAAGACCACUUGCAGUGAACAUUGUUCAAGGAGGUUUAAAUUUCAUUUCUGCAUUUCAGUUUGAUUUUGGGUGGAAAGAGAAGUUGUGAGAGCUGUUACACCCAAUAAAGGGACUUACUUACUGAACCCCCCAGCUUUUCUGGACUCCACUGCCCUAAGAAACACCUCCAACUCUAAAGGGAGCAGUUCACCCCCUCAGAGUGCCAGAACUGGACACCAGUAACAACCAAUCUAUGGUACUGUCCCCCACCUUUGUGUUUUAGGGGUGAUGGGGGAUCAUUUUGGUCUAAUUUUUCCUGUGUUUUUUUGACAGCACUUGAUGGGGCACUUCCUCCUCCUUCUCCAUACAUUGCCAGGGACUGCAUUGCCAGCAGGACCAAAUUCCGAGAGAGAGCCUCCUGGAGAAUCCACUGCAGCCAGGAAUGUUUUCCAAGACAUCCCUUGAUGCACCGCUGAGUUCCAGGCCUGACAGAGGACCCAUGGCAACAGCCCUGGGCUCUGCCGGGUCAGGCUGGAAGAGGAGGUGGUGACAUCUGAUAAGGAACAGAUAAACUGAGGUUGCACUAUCCUCCUCCUGUGACUCCCCCUCUCCUGCCCUGCAUUCCUCUGAAAUAAUUGGGGUUUUUCUUCUCACUCUCAAAUUCCGGACUGGGGCACAUCCCCUUCAGCACAUUCUGUAAAGGCAGCCCUUGUGUUUUGCAGUCCAAGUGCUCUGCUAGCUCAGCUCUGCUCCUGGGUGUCCAGCAGCUCAUUCUCGGCUGCAGUCAUAUCCUUCCCGACACUCCUCUGCUGCACACUCAACUAUGGUCCUCUCCACCUUCAUCCUCUGAAGAGCAGCUCAGAGCAACACUUCCAGCAGCAAUUUCCUUUCCAAGAUGCCAAAAUUGCACCUCAUACCAGACAUGGCAGCUGGUCCCUUUGUGGCACAGAGAGGGAAGGAAUCAACAAGUUGUAACUCUAUUUCUGGCUGUAAGCAGGAAUUUCAGAGCAGCCUUUAAGGAUCCCACUUGCUGUCAGCAGAGUACAGGACACAGCUCUGAACGGGGAUGCACUGCACAGCCCAGCCUGGUACACCACUUCCAACUGUGCUGUGCCAGCACAUGUGAGACUGGACUCCCUGGAACAGCAACGGUCUCUCAGGCUUGUGGAAUACACUAAAUGCAUUUUCCCAAGCAUUUCUGUACUGCCAUAAGGUCUGGAAAUCUACUGAUAAAAGGGAGACAACUGGUAUUGGAGUGCCUCAAAGAUAACAUGCCAUUGCCUGACUCCUUCCUGAGGCCAUUCCAAGAGUCUCCACCCUCUACACAAUGGAGUUUACCUCUGAAGUUGUUCCUGCCCCUCCCUCUGUCUACAUCUUCAGGUAUUGCAUUAGGGAGUCUUUGAUACCCAAACCCAGUAGGAAAGCAUCCAGGUCACUCAGCCUCCACAAAAGCAGCAAGCCAUGUGCAGCCUCAGAGCCCUGAUCCAAGGCAACGUGUGUGCUGCUGCUGGAGGAGGAAGGCAGCUGUGUGCAGGCACCUGGAAUCGUGCAGCCACCUGGAACUGCACCGCCACCAUGGCCCAGCCGAGGGCAAACAAAUCUCGCAGGCAGGAAAGGAACACCUCUGUCAUCCCAAAGCACACAGUACUGGAAACAUCUGCUGGUUCUGCAAGCAUCUGAAACAAUGUGAUCCUCCUGAAUGUGCCAACAAGUCCUUCCCUGUCCUUGCUCACUCUUGGAUUCCCAGAAUAUCAGAGGGCUUUAUUCUCAACAGGGAUUGCCCCCUGCUUCUCUUUCUUCUGCAUAAAAUGGGCAAAACUGUGGUCAGAGAUGGGAUGGAGUUGAGCUGCAGGCUGUGGCAUGCACCUGCAGGAGCACAUCGGAGCACAAAGGAGCACAUGGCAGCACAGAGAGGCUUGUCUCUGCCUGACUUUGGGGGGAGGAGGUGCCACGUGGCAGAGCCAGGCAGAGAGGAGCCUGCCGGAAGUUGACAGAUGGGUGAACAGCCGUGACCACCCCAUAGAAGGACAUUAUUUCUUAAUAUCCUAGAAGAACUCGUUCUGCCCUGCGUCAUCAGGUGGAGCCGUAUUGCGGUGAGUAGCUGGAGCAGAGCGGGCCAUUUGUGGUAGAGUGUUCCCUCUCCAUUUGCCCUCUGCGAGAGUGUGGCAGCAGCAGCAGAGGCAGCAGCGGGAGGGCAUGGGGAGCCGCAGGGGCGCAGUGCUGUAGCAGCGGUGGUGAGUGCAAGGCACCAAGCACAUGGUGGCGAGCACGUGGCAGGGCUGUGCCAUGCUGGCAAGCACAUGGCACAGCCAGGGGCCGGCGACGAACGCUGACACAGCAGGUCUGGUGGGAUGCGUGUGGCUCUCUGCAUGUGGGCAGUAAGAAGGUGACCCUGACACAGCAGGUCUGGUGGGAUGCGUGUGGCUCUCUGCAUGUGGGCAGUAAGAAGGUGACCCAAGGAGCCUGAUGGCACUGGGAGGGGCAGUGCCAUGUCCCUGCUCCCUGCACAUGGCAGGGUUUGCCCAGGGAGAUGAGGCCGCCAUCUUCUGCAGGAGUGGCUGCAAGCUUGGCAUAAAGUUCCUGGGCUGGUCUGUAAAACUCCGCUGUAAUAUUGCCACAAUCCUGGAGUCUAUCUCAAAGAUUGCUCUUUUACCACAUCACCUUGUGACCCCCUGGAUUGUUCUAAUUGCUUUUUGUUAUGGAUGCUCUUGUAUUUUUAAGUCAUUUUUUGCUCUUGUUAAAAACUAACUUUUAUGUUUUCACUAAGCUGUAGAUUUUGACAGGACUGUUAAUUAGAUUUAAGGUUAACUGGGUGAUGGUAGUAUAUUUCUGGAUCCAGAAAGCAUUAAUACAUAGAGCUUUUAUGAAGGGCUUUAGUAGUAAGAUAAUUAUCUAAUGUUACUUAAAUGCAUUAUUUUGGUUACAUUAAUAAAGGUUUGCUUGCAGAUAUUUUGGGGAAACCCUCCCAGUCAAGGCUUGGGCCCUGGCCUAGCCCUGGCCCUGGCUGGUAAGGGAAGUAUACCAUCACACCCAAGUAUUUCUGCGCUUGAAGUGUAAUCAAUUCAUUUUGACUUGCUGAUUUGGUCUUAUAAAAGCUGGAUCCACUUUUAAGGUAAACUUGGAAACCUUGCCCAGGAAAGGUUUUCCAGGUCCUCACUGUGAAAUGGGUCUAUGUGGUGGCAAAACAGCAGGCCUGUAUAAGGUCUUGCAGACUGAAUCCUAAUUUGGUCCAACACAGCUGUGAGAAAGCUAACAGCUCUUUGUGAAAACAGAAGCCUGUAACGGCGAAAACUAACUUGUUUCCCUGCAAAAGAAUUCUACAGAUUAGGACUGUUUUCCUGUACCUGUUUCAACAAUCCCAACCGUCUCAGCAAAAGAAUGAAAACAGUAUCUCACAAACAACCCUUUCUUUCAUGUAGACACCUUGUCCAUGACUGACCAAUUACUAUGGGGUAACAAACAGCUUAUUACUGACCAAUAGGGGAUAGACAUGGGAGGGUUUAUAAAACUAUAUAAAGGGAUGUAUAAAAUAAAGUGGUAGCUUUUUUCAUGCCUUGAAAGAGUGUGUCUUGUCUCUCUGAAACGAGGUCAACAGUGACAGGGCUCUCCAGCGAUGGCACACUCUGGGUAACGGUAAAGUAUUUAGGCAGUUAAAGGUAUUACCUUUUUUUUGCUCAGUGGUGCUUGUUGCUUUGUAGAUACAUUGUUUUACUGGGUUAAAAUAUAUUCAUUUUAUAGUUGUUAAAACAAAAAAGAGGGAGUGUGGGGAUGGGCUAUAUUCCCCACAAAGGCCUUACAUGUUCUUAAUCACAUUCAGAAUGACCUAAACUCCGUCCAAUUACAUUUUUGCGAAUCACAAGCUCACUUAGACUUACUAAGAAUCUUGAAAGUAGAAAAUGAGAAGGACCCUUUCCAUUGAUAACCUGGGGGCAAAGUUAUGCUUGUGUUUUCAUAGAUUCCAGUCCAUGAUGGGUACCUGCAAGAGUGAUCCAACCAGCCUUGGUUGUUCUGGCUUUAUCAUCAACUUGUGGGGAAGCUGAGAGAACAAGAUGAAUGGAGUUUGUUUGGUUUGGGUUGUGGGCCAAUGUUGGGAUGUUCUAAUGUUGGGAGUGUUUCGUUUAGUGAUUCUUGUUUGUAUAAAACAAAAAAGAGGGAAUUGUGGUCAGAGAUGGGAUGGAGUUGAACUGCAGGCUGUGGCACGCACCUGCAGGAGUACAUCGGAGCACAAAGAAGCACAUGGCAGCACAGAGAGGCUUGUCUCUGCCUGACCUUGGGGGGAGGAGGUGCCACGUGGCAGAGCCAGGCAGAGAGGAGCCUGCCGGAAGUUGACAGAUGGGUGAACAGCAGUGACCACCCCAUAGAAGGACAUUCGGAAAGUGUGUUGCUGACGUGGUGAUGUGUGAUCGGUCGCUUACUGAGAAUUACUGUAAAAGGAAAUAAUUGUGUCGUGAAGAAGCGUAUAAAAGCAGCUUGUUUCUUUGAAUAAAUGAUUCUGAUUCCUUGCU